UACGGGGGGAGCAAGCGUUGUUCGGAUUUACUGGGCGUAAAGCGCACGUAGGCGGAUUGGUCAGUUAGGGGUGAAAUCCUGGAGCUCAACUCCAGAACUGCCUUUAAUACUGCCAGUCUCGAGUCCGGAAGAGGUAAGUGGAACUCCUAGUGUAGAGGUGGAAUUCGUAGAUAUUAGGAAGAACACCAGUGGCGAAGGCGGCUUACUGGUCCGGUACUGACGCUGAGGUGCGAAAGCGUGGGGAGCAAACAGG
rnacentral:rRNA from 1 species